CGAACGGGGAGAUUCAUCGUCAGCGGACGCCGGCUUCGCGUCGGUCGGCGAUGUCCCGCGGGGGCCCUCGCGGCUCUCAGCGCGGGCACGCUGCCGUGCGCCGAUGUAUCCGGCUUCGCCGUCGUGCACUUCUCCCCUGGUAGAACGUCGCGACCCGCUGGGUGUCGGUCUACGGCCCGGGUGCGGUGUCUGACGCGCCGCCGGUAAAACGGCGCGCGUCAAACCCCCGGUCGCCCGGCCGGCUGCCCGGCGGUACGCGCAAGGUAUCAGGCCGCACACACAUUUGAACGGUGCGUCGAGGCCGUCGCAAGCGCGCGCCACGGUACACGGAGGUACGGACCUAGCGCCGUCACCGGUCCUGGCCCGCUGUUGGUCGUACGGUUAACCUUCGACAGGCCUACGAACGUCCCAGCGCGUGGGGGUCGGGGGCUCGUCUCCCGCGCUCUCGCGCGUUGGC
rnacentral:rRNA from 2 species